rnacentral:rRNA from 1 species
CCUACGGGAGGCAGCAGUGGGGAAUAUUGGUCAAUGGGCGCAAGCCUGACCCAGCAACGCCGCGUGAAGGAAGAAGGUUCUAGGGUUUGAAACUUCCUUUUGCAGGGGAGAGUAGACGACGGUACCUGUCGAAUAAGCCACGGCUAACUACGUGCCAGCAGCCGCGGUACUACGUAGGUGGCGAGCGUUUUCCGGAUUUACUGGGUGUAAAGGGCGUGUUGACGGGUUGACAAGUCAGAUGUGAAAUCCUGCGGCUUAACCGCAGAACUGCAGUUGAAACUGUCGAGCUUGAGUACUGGUGAGGCAGACGGAAUUCGUAGUGUAGCGGUGAAAUGCUUAGAUAUGAGGAAGAACACCAGUGGCGAAGGCGGUCUGCUGGAGAGGAACUGACGGUGAGGCGCGAAAGCGUGGGGAGCGAACAGGAUUAGAUACCCCAGUAGUC